rnacentral:RNase_P_RNA from 1 species
CCAGAAGGCCGGGCAGCCGCUGGCAUGUGGGUAACUGCAUGCUGGAGGAAAGUCCGGGCUCCAACGAGACAGGGCGACGGCUAACGGCCGCCCGGCGCAAGCCGAGGGAAAGUGCCACAGAAAGCAAACCGCCCUCCGUAGCCUCGGCGAAGGAGGGUAAGGGUGAAAGGGUGGGGUAAGAGCCCACCGCAGGCCUGGCAACAGGGCUGGCAAGGCAAACCCCGCCCGGAGCAAGACCAAGUAGGGGGCACAUAUGGGCCGUCUUAUGCCCGUGCCCCGGGUGUGUCGCGUGAGGCGCUCAGCAAUGAGCGUCCCAGAGGAAUGGCUGCCAGACCCCGCAAGGGGCGAACAGAACCCGGCUUACAGGCCUUCUGGUCCC